UUUGUGAUUUAUUUUAUUUUAUUUUU
rnacentral:sRNA from 1 species